GUGUCAGUCCACAGCUGACCAUGGGAGGCAACCAUCUGAAAGAUGAACUUUCUUGGUUUGAUGAGUUUGCCCUUGGCAAUGAUGCUGGAGCGAAUAACACACACUGUACUGCGCAGCCAUGUGGGGGAUAAAGGGACAGACAGAGAGUGAAAGCAGCAGCUACAGCACAGUAGUUCUACAGAAGGCAGGAGAUAAGCAAGCAAAGAGCACAGGACAGAAAUGCUCUAGCUGGACUUCCCUAAGCUUGCCUCACGGAAUCCCUGGAUGGCAAUCCUUAGAUGAAUUUAUUGUGCCCCUAUGAUCCAGCAUGGAGGUGCCGUGCGCCAAAGACUUCUACUGGCAAACACUGGCGCCACUACAAAGCCCACGUGUGUACUGCUCCCUCGUGGAAACCGGGGGUCAAAUUUUUGCUGUUGGAGGCUGUGAUGAUGCAGGAAACCCAAUGAAUUCUUUUGAGGUAUUCUCUCCAGAAGCCAACCGGUGGAGCAGCCUAGAACCAAUGCCAUCUUCUCGAGCUGGAGUAGCUGUGGUAGCAUUGGGCAAAAGAAUCAUGGUUGUGGGGGGAGUUGGAGAGAACCAAACCCCACUGAAAGUGGUGGAGGUCUACAACAUUGACGAAGGAAAAUGGAAGAAGAAGAGUUCACUUCGUGAACCUGCCAUGGGAAUAUCUGUCACCGUUAGAGACUGCAGGGUAUAUGCAGCUGGUGGGAUGGGUUCAGAUCUACGACCGCAUUGUUUCUUACAACAGUAUGACAUGCUGAAAGAUAUUUGGGUUCAUUUUGCUCCAAUGCCUACACCUAGAUAUGGUGCCACCUCUUUUCUGCGUGGGACAAAAAUCUAUGUUUUGGGGGGAAGACAGGCCAAAUAUGCAGUUAAUGCCUUUGAAGUCUUUGACAUUGAGACACGCUCCUGGACAAAAUUCCCAAGCAUUCCUAAUAAAAGGGCAUACUCCAGAUAUGUGCUCAGUGAGGGCUCUCUGUACAGCCUUGGAGGCCUGCGUCAAGGAGGUACCUACCGCCGACCAAAAUUCACCAAGACAGUGGAUAUAUUCGAUAUGGAGCAAGGGGGCUGGAUGAAGACUGAACGAUCUUGCUUUCUAAGAAAAAGAAGAGCCGACUUUGUUGCAGGUUCAGUUCACGGAAGAGUUGUUGUGGCAGGUGGCCUUGGUAACCAGCCCUCUGUUCUGGAGACAGCAGAAAUCUUUCAUCCUGUGAAGAGCCGAUGGGAGAGUUUAAGUCCCAUGCCUACUCCACGUUGUGCUUGUGCUAGCAUUGUCCUGAAGAACAGACUAUAUGCAAUUGGUGGGGUCAAUCAGGGUCCUAGUUCUGCUGUAGAAAUGCUAAGUUUGGUAGAGCCCUGAAAGUGUGUAAUUGUUUUGGAUAUUAGUUGUUAUAUCUAAAUGUAUACAGUUGUAUAUGGAGCAGUGUAUUACUGUAGGCAGAACAAGUUUGUGUCCCUGUAAACAGGGACUCUGUAAAAUGCCUUUGUAUAUGUGCAGAGUAUCCAAGUGGAUAUUUUAAGCCUACUAAAAUGUAAUACACAAAAUACACAUAAUUCUGAAUUAUAACUGGUCACUUUUUGGUAGAGCUACAGUUUACAUUCUUUCUAGUAAUGCUUUCCUAUGCGUAUUUUUUUCAUCAUGUAUGUAUAUUAUCCAACAAUGGGCUUUAAAGGGGAGAUUUAUUAACUGCACUGAAUGUAGGUCUGAAAAUAAUUUGGUGCGUAUUUUUACUCCCAUGCUUAUUUGAAGGGCCAUGAUAACAUUUACACAACAGUUUGCAGCAGCUCUGGUGAGCAAACAAUAUCAUGGUAGUGUGUGUGAGUGUAUGUAUGUACAAUACAGUAUACUAGGUGUAUGUGUACAUGGGAUAUGUGAUAUCAGCACAGUUUGUAAACUGUUUACUUAAAUGCCAUUGAAUUGAGUAUUGAUAUAGACAAGUAAAAAGCAAUAUCCAUUCUGAAAUUCUUACUCCUAACUGUUAUCAUUAGACCAUAUGGUGCACUAUUUUUCUACCUUUAUCUAAAGAAAACUUGCAGAAGAGUUGAAGUCUGCAAUAAGAAACAGGUUAUUAUAAAUCAAUAUAUAAAUGAGCGAGUGCAUCUUCCAGUAUAAUUACAUGGAUCUCAGUUGAUAAUAAAACAUGAGUGUGUCACUGUGCGUUUAUACUGCAGCUUGUGUCUGUGUGAUUAAUGCACUUGUCCCAGUUUGGAAAACUAUAUUUAGGUCACAAAAGAAUGAUAAUGUCUUAGCUGUUCUUUCUCCAACCGUGCUUCCUAAUAAUAAAGUGAUGCCAGCGACAGCAAA